CAGCAGCCGCGGUAAUACCGGCGGCCCGAGUGGCGGUCACUAUUAUUGGGCUUAAAGCGUCCGUAGCCGGGUUGGGAAGUCCUCCGGGAAAUCUGGCCGCUUAACGGUCAGAAUGCCGGAGGAUACUCCCAGCCUAGGGAGCGGGAGAGGCCGAGGGUAUUCCCGGAGUAGGGGUGAAAUCCUAUAAUCCCGGGAGGACCACCUGUGGCGAAGGGGCUCGGCUGGAACGCGUCCGACGGUGAGGGACGAAGGCCAGGGGAGCAAAUCGGAUUAGAUACCCGGGUAGUCCUGGCUGUAAACGAUGCGGACUUUGUGUCGGACAAGCUAUGAGCUUGUCCGGUGCCGGAGGGAAACCGUUAAGUCCGCCGCCUGGGGAGUACGGCCGCAAGGCUGAAACUUAAAGGAAUUGGCGGG
rnacentral:rRNA from 1 species